rnacentral:rRNA from 1 species
UACGUAGGGUGCAAGCGUUGUCCGGAAUUAUUGGGCGUAAAGAGCUCGUAGGCGGUCUGUCGCGUCGGCUGUGAAAACUCGGGGCUCAACCCCGAGCCUGCAGUCGAUACGGGCAGACUAGAGUGCUGUAGGGGAGACUGGAAUUCCUGGUGUAGCGGUGAAAUGCGCAGAUAUCAGGAGGAACACCGGUGGCGAAGGCGGCUCACUGGCCCAUAACUGACGCUGAGGCACGAAAGCGUGGGGAGCAACAGGA